UUAAGUUCAGCGGGUAUUCCUACCUGAUCCGAGGUCAACCUUGAUAUGGGGGGUGUUUCACGGCAAGAGACCCGCGGCGUUCCCUGAGCGAGGAUGUUUACUGCACUCGGUACGACGACGAGCCCGCCACUGGAUUUAGGGGUCUGCGGCAGCCGCAGGGCCCCAACACAAGCGGGGCGCUUGAUGGUUGAAAUGACGCU
rnacentral:misc_RNA from 1 species